rnacentral:rRNA from 1 species
GACGAACGCUGGCGGCGUGCCUAAUACAUGCAAGUAGAACGCUGAAGCUUGGUGCUUGCACCGAGCGGAUGAGUUGCGAACGGGUGAGUAACGCGUAGGUAACCUGCCUGGUAGCGGGGGAUAACUAUUGGAAACGAUAGCUAAUACCGCAUAACAGUAGAUAUCGCAUGAUAGCUACUUGAAAGGUGCAAAUGCACCACUACCAGAUGGACCUGCGUUGUAUUAGCUAGUUGGUGAGGUAACGGCUCACCAAGGCAACGAUACAUAGCCGACCUGAGAGGGUGAUCGGCCACACUGGGACUGAGACACGGCCCAGACUCCUACGGGAGGCAGCAGUAGGGAAUCUUCGGCAAUGGACGGAAGUCUGACCGAGCAACGCCGCGUGAGUGAAGAAGGUUUUCGGAUCGUAAAGCUCUGUUGUAAGAGAAGAACGAGUGUGAGAGUGGAAAGUUCACACUGUGACGGUAUCUUACCAGAAAGAGACGGCUAACUACGUG